GGCUAUGUAGACUCAGUUGGUUAGGAGCAUCGCACUCAUAAUGACGAGGGUCUACUAGGGUUCGAAUCCCGUCAUAGCCA
rnacentral:tRNA from 1 species